GACAGCAGCCAUAUCACCCUGCUGCUCCUAGCUGGCAGCCCACUGAAGCCCAGCAGGUGUGAGCCUGGUCUGUACCUGGAUGGGAGACCUCCUGGGAAAAACUAAGGUUGCUGCUGGAA
rnacentral:rRNA from 1 species